GCAGAUUAGCCUCGUUUGCUCUUUAGUGUUCUCAUGUUCUUCUGGCGGUCUGUUUACUUCGUGAUUUUCGUGGGAAUACUUAUUCUCUUAUAAAAAAAGCUUUAUUUAAUUUAUUAUUUGAGUGGUUUCUUAAGGGUUAAGACCCAUGGAAAAAGUUCGCGUGCGAAUGAGAGAGAAUCAGAUUCUCAGUGCUUAACACUGGAGACGAUUAAUGGGCCCGCUACAUUUUUGAGGCCCACGUACGCCCUGGCUAUUUAUCUUGCAUAUUGGAGUCAAGGAAGGCGCCAAUCACAGGGAGCGUCUAUUGUUAUCAUUUUCUCUUCCUCCUACUUUGAUAUUUUCUUCCUCUUUUCUCUCUCACAACACAUACGUUAAAAUAUGGCCGAUCAGCUCACCGACGACCAGAUCUCUGAGUUCAAGGAAGCCUUCAGCCUCUUUGAUAAAGAUGGCGAUGGCUGCAUUACUACUAAGGAACUUGGGACUGUAAUGCGUUCACUAGGCCAGAACCCAACUGAAGCAGAGCUCCAGGACAUGAUAAAUGAGGUUGAUGCUGAUGGGAAUGGCACUAUUGAUUUCCCAGAGUUCCUUAAUCUGAUGGCCCGCAAGAUGAAGGACACUGAUUCUGAGGAGGAGCUCAAGGAAGCUUUUCGGGUUUUUGAUAAGGAUCAGAACGGUUUCAUUUCUGCUGCUGAGCUUCGCCAUGUCAUGACAAAUCUUGGCGAGAAGCUGACAGAUGAGGAGGUUGAUGAGAUGAUUCGUGAGGCAGACGUGGAUGGUGAUGGCCAAAUCAACUAUGAAGAGUUUGUCAAAGUCAUGAUGGCCAAGUAAGGACAAAUCAAUUAAAACUAAAAUUAAAAAGCUCAAAAAGGUGGAAAAAAAGGAAACAGGGCAGAUAAGUUUGAUAAGAAAAAUUCUAUUUCCCUUUAGGAGAUCUUCAUUUUGUGUUAUUAGCUUUGGUUGGGUUGUCUGUUUCUUGUUUGCAUCAUUUUGUGGCACAUUUCAUUACUAUCUACUUGUUUGCUCUGUUUCCUGUCAGUAGCUUGGCUUGUUAGUUUCUCUAUUCUAUUGUUUUUAUUUUAUAUCUACCUUGGUAUUAUGAACCUAGAACAAUCGGGAUGAUCAGAUGUUUUUGCUUGUGAAUGACUAAUUUUGUUGAUAUUCUAAAUUUUAGUCACUUUUAGUUUUAUAUAUUCAUCUUUCUAAUGGUAGCAUGAAUUUAUUAUGUGCUCCAUUGUUGACCAUGAAUUCUUUAUAUCUUAAUUACUUGAAAUGGUUGCCACGGCAUUGGAAAUAGGAUCAAUACUUGGGUUGUCAAUCUAGCUGCUCAUGCUUAUUUGCAUCUGCAACUAGACAACCCUCUUCCCCUGGGCCAACAGAAGAUGCAGUGCAUGUGUAUUUACUCUGGCAACCAUUUAUUAAUUUUUUUCCCUCUCAUUUCUAAUUAUAUAUAAAUAUAAUUCUUAGCUAGCUUCAGUUUUUGAGAAGAUAGAGCAUACGCAGCCUGCAUAGGUUUUUGGCCACUCUUAAAUUUUUUUUAAAUAGUUAUUUUUUUUUGUUAUUUUUAUUGAUUUUAAUUUUAAUAUUAUUAGUAUUUUAGACUUGAUGAACUGAAUGUUCUGAUACUUGGGCUAGACCGAAUGAUAGUCUUUUUCUUAGAUCCAUGGAUGUUGCCAUAAGACAUUUCGUGGUUGUUAGCUGGCUGAUGCCUAGGAAGAAAUCCAUAUUUUAUCUUAAUGACACUCUUAGAACCAGGACUAGGAGUUAACCUAUGAGUGGAAAAUCAAUAUAUUCAGUUUGAUUGGAAGAAAUGGUGAGGAAGAAAAAAGGCUAAUCGCUGAAUUGCUGUCGUAUCAUUUAUUUAUUUAAUUUUUCCCACCUGAAUUUUAUCAUAGAACUCUUGCCUAUACAGGCGUAUACACCAUAAUAUAAGAAAAGUCAUUGAGUAUGAUUUCUUGAUCUUAAUUAUAUAUUGGAUAGAAAGCAUGAAUUGCCUACAAGUUGUGGCGGAUUCUCUCUUGAUUUCUUGUCCAAGUGGGAGCUUUGGAAGAGGAACUUUAUUUGGUUCUUACUUGCCUUUACCCUUUAGAAUCCAAUCCUUUUGGAAAACUCUCUUCUUCGUUGGGUCAUUUUUUUUUUUAAUGUUGAACCAACCAUGAAUCCUAACCAUUAAUCAUAAUGAGAUCUGCAAUAAUCAUCACUUAGGAUGUAGUUACAUGUUAUAUAUUCUUAGAAGGAAGCAUCUAAGAGAGUGGAGCACUAUUUUCAUAUGUUCCAGAGUAUGCUAUAAUAUUUCGAGAGAACAUAGUUGUCCAGAAUCUGCUUUAUUCGGAGUCUUUUUCAGGCAUAAAUGAAAGAAUUUUGGGUUUGCGAAAACAAAUGUGCUAAAAAAUUUUGUGAUCUUUGCUAUUUAUUAACUGAAGAAAUUAUCUUAUAAAAUCAAACGAAGGCCUAAAGCCUCGCGUACUAUAAAAUGCCCAUAAAAAAAACACCCUCCGGAGCUUUUUUUAUCUUUAGUCAAAUUAAAUAAAAAAAGCUUUUAAAUAAAUAUAAUCACACGAAAAUCAUUACAACAAAAUUUUCUUUACAUGUCUGCUCUAUCUUGGUGAAAAUGGGAAUUACAAUAAAGCUAGGCGCCUUUGUUUAAAAAAGAAGCUGAUAAAUGAUAUGGUUAUUGUAUAAACACAGAGAAGCAAAGAAGAGGAAAGAGAGGAGUGAAGAGAGGAGCCAUAGUAACUCCAAGCAAGCCAAAAGUAAUGGAAAGACGCGUCGUAAAGGAUAUGUGGUUCGCAAAUGUUUUAUCCUCUGAUGUUGCUGACAUUUCGUCCAGACUUGCCCUUAUCUAUAGAAUCAAUUGUAGACUACUUUUUUUUUUUUUUUAAUAAUCCCUUUUAAGGAAUAAUGUCUUAAAUGAUGUACAUAUAUGGUACUGAUACCACUACAAAAAAUAAUUAUCAGAUUAAUACUUGAAGGAAUUUAGUGCACUCAUGAGGGUCAAUCCAAUUCUUUGUGCACUUGACAGAGAAAUAAAAUGACAAUAAUAAUAUAUAUGGACUCAAUGAUUCUCCAUGAAUAUGUAUAUAUAGAAGGAUAUAAUGGUUUAAUAUAUAUAUAUACAUGUGGAAGGACACAAUAGUUCAAACAUGACCGGUAUAUAUGUGUGAGUGUAUGCAUAUGUGCAAAGCCAAGUAUUCUAAUGGUGGGCACUAAAUAUUUAAUUUUUAGUCUAAUUAACAUACAUGAUUGAUUUGUGAACUAAUUUUAAUAAUAUGUAUAUAUUUUUAUUUUUUCCUAAAAUAAAUUUCUUCCUCUGUCAAGAAUUGUUUUAGAACAUUUUUGAGACUUCUAAAUUUGUUUUUUGAAUACAAAAU
rnacentral:misc_RNA from 1 species